CUGGGAAUUUUGCGCAAUGGGGGAAACCCUGACGCAGUGACGCCGCGUGAGUGAGGAAGGCCUUCGGGUUGUAAAGCUCUUUCAGCAGGGAAGAAAAAAUGACGGUACCUGCAGAAGAAGCACCGGCUAACUCCGUGCCAGCAGCCGCGGUAAUACGGAGGGUGCAAGCGUUAUUCGGAUUCAUUGGGCGUAAAGCGCGCGUAGGCGGUCUAGUAAGUCUGAUGUGAAAGCCCACGACUCAAUCGUGGAAGUGCAUUGGAUACUGCUAGGCUGGAGUCUAGGAGGGGAGAACGGAAUUCCAGGUGUAGAGGUGAAAUUCGUAGAUAUCUGGAGGAACAACAGCGGCGAAG
rnacentral:rRNA from 1 species